rnacentral:rRNA from 1 species
GAAACGGUGGCUAAUACUCCAUGUGCUUGGUGACUCGAUUCACCAAGUAAAGCUCCGGCGCUUUGGGAGGGGCCUGCGGCCCAUCAGGUAGUUGGUAGGGUAAUGGCCUACCAAGCCUACGACGGGUAGGGGGCGUGAGAGCGUGAUCCCCCACACUGGUACUGAGAUACGGGCCAGACUCCUACGGGAGGCAGCAGUGAGGAAUAUUGCCCAAUGGACGCAAGUCUGAGGCAGCAACGCCGCGUGAGCGAUGAAGGCCUUCGGGUUGUAAAGCUCUUUUCUGGGGGACGAGGAAGGACGGUACCUCAGGAAUAAGUCACGGCUAACUACGUGCCAGCAGCCGCGGUAAUACGUAGGUGGCGAGCGUUAUCCGGAUUUACUGGGCGUAAAGCGCGCGCAGGCGGUUCCGUAAGUCGGACGUGAAAGCUCCUGGCUUAACUGGGAGAGGCCGUUCGAUACUGCGGGACUUGAGGUCGGGAGAGGGACGUGGAAUUCCCGGUGUAGAGGUGGAAUGCGUAGAUAUCGGGAGGAACACCAGUGGCGAAGGCGGUGCCCUGGCCCGCACCUGACGCUGA